UUUAAUCUAAGACCUAAGAAAAAAUUAAUUAAUUAACUGUAUUUAAAUAUAUCGUAUCCAAAAGAAAUCAAAUGACACUUAAUUAGUUAAUUGUAAUUUAUAAUCAAUCAUACCACGUUAUUACCGAAGAACAAUACGCAACAUAAGAAUAUACCCUCAUAGACUCAUAGUCACAUAUCGCAAAUUAUCACAUUGUUCUGGGUAGCUUUUGAAAUGCUAGAACAGAACAAAAUUAUUACAUGAAAAUAAAACCAACAAAAGUGAUCAAAACAAUGCAAAAGGGUCACACAAAAAAAAUAAACUUAAAAUCUCUAGUAAUCAACCAAUAACUUGCAUAAUAUUGGAUCAUAGAAUUGCAUACAUAUAGAAAAAUAUUUUGAAAACCUUGGUUCCAAAUCUUGAAUUCGAGACGUGCCUACAUUUAGUGUUCGACAUAGAACAUAAUUACUUCCGGUGAAUAAAACAUAUGAGAAACAAAAAUUAAUAAAGGUGUAGAUAGGAGCAAGGAUCUUGUAUGAGAGUGUAACUGCCAAAGGAUCUUCAGUUGCCCAAAUGAUCAAGCAAGUUAAUAAAUCAACUUGCAAUUGUCAUUGGUUAAUUAUUAUAUAAUGAGUUCCAUGUCUUCAUCUUCAUCAGCACCAUCAUUAAUCUCACAGCUACAUGACCUUGUUUCCAUAUGGAAAUUCAAUAAGAACACUAUAGUACCAAGGUUAUGAAUGGAUGAGCCUUCAAAGAGAACAAGGGAAGAAGGGUUUUUCUUAACUAUAAAGGUGAAUGUGUGUUACUUUUGGGUAUGGAAUAGGGUGAGUGGGGGCAUAUGCAUAGGAUCUUCUUUGGCAUAUACUUUGAGCAUUAACUUGCUGGCCCAUUAUUUUCACAUAUGCUUUUAGCAUCUUUUCUAUGAAUUAAAUUAAUAUAAUCAUUUUGUAAUAUGUGGA
rnacentral:lncRNA from 1 species